rnacentral:lncRNA from 1 species
UUUCUUGUCCCCCUUUUUGCUCUAUUACAAUCGUUUUAUAUAUCGAAAAAACAGAAUAAUAGAAAAAGGAGAAAAAAAUCUGUCAUUUUUUCGCUCUUUUCUUUUCUUCUUUUUUCUGUUUCUUUGUGCUGCGUUGUCCUUGUGUUGUCCGUCUUUCUUGCAGGUACAGAAGCCAGCUGACGUACGAAGGCGCUGACGUGGCACAUACGUGCUUGGCUGAGGAGACUAGAGGCGUGCAGCGGCUGCUGUGCGAGUGAGGAGCGGCGCACAAGUUUGUUAGGGUUUUUUGUUCCUGCACAUUAGUCGGGCUAGGUUAAUUGGGUUUAAUUUUGGGCUGGUAAUUAGUGGGUUUGUAAUUUGGGCCUGGUGUUGGGUAAUGCAAUUAGGUAAUGGGUUAGGUUUAUAUUGUAUUGAGUUUUGUAAUACUAAAAAAAGGACUACUAUUGGUUUUUAUUUUAUUUUGAUUUAUUUGUGUUUUUGAGCCCGGACAAAUUGGGCCUAUUACAGCUUGAAAACGUUGUGAGUGCUUUAAUAUCAGUCAAAACUGAGAAAGAUUGAGUGUGAUUAUGUAAAGA